rnacentral:tRNA from 2 species
AGCGGGAAACGAGACUCGAACUCGCGACCCCGACCUUGGCAAGGUCGUGCUCUACCAACUGAGCUAUUCCCGC